CGUAACUCCAGUUCCAGUGGAUCUGAUGCUUUCUGGCCUCCAUGGGCACCAGGCUUGAUUGGAUUUCAUAUAAUAUGCUUAUGAUAGCCACGUAGAGGAUAUCUGGAAGUGUGAUGGGAGAGUGAGAAGCUUACACCCAUGUUUUCAGCUCUUUCAGGUUUCUUGGUGUUACAGCUCUUCUUGCUUCUGUGGAAUGGCCCCGGCUGCCCAGCGACCACUGCUUAUAUACCCUAUCCCGCUCGUGGCCCUCCUGGAUUGGUCCCCCGGCAAUUGCCUCAUUAGCAUGCACCCGCUCGGGAGGGGUUUGGCGCAUGAUUGGUUAGCAUACGCAUGCUCGAGAGACACCUAAUUUGCAUGAGCCCACUCGGGAGGGGCGCGAGAUUUACCAGGCAAGUCUGAGGCAGUCUGAGUGCCAUCUUGGAAUGGCGACUGGCUUCCCACAUUUUUUCCCAUCUCCCUUUUCAAGGGAUACCACUUACCUGUCUUCUUUUUGUAGAUUAGUUUGCAUUUUCUUUUUUAAAUUGUUUUCAUAUCUUAAAGUUUUAGCUUUGUGGUCAGAAGACAGCUGUUAUGAGUCAGUUCUCUUUCCCAUGGUAGAUCCUAGAGACUGAGUUUAGAUUGUCAGACUUGGUAGCAGUCACUUUACCUGACGAGUCAUCUUGUCAGCCCUACUUUGCAUUUUCUAGUAUUUUAUUUGAGUUACACAGUAGACCCUCUUUUCUGGUUUCUUUCACAUAGCAUAAUUUUGAGACUUAUGAUGACAGAGCUCUCCAAACUUCACUGAUUUACAGAAACAACUAAACUAAAGCUGCAGUUACUGGAGCAUUCAACUUCAUAAAACUUUUUGCUACAGAAUAAAGUUUACAAUAUUGACUUUUGUUUCUCAAGGUUCCCUAAGGUUGAGAAACUCAAGUCUUACUACUAAACAAGAGGAAAUGCUAACUCAUUUCUGGGAACUUAAGCAAUAGCAUAAGAUAUAUAGAUAUAUAUAUAUAUUUAGGGUAGAACUUUAGAAAGGAUAUUAUUCAUAAACUUGUGCUGGGUGUAAAAACAAAAUAGAAAAAUAAAAUUUAUGGGAAACCAAAAUUCAGUACAACCAAAAUUGUAUUCAUUUAAAGGAAAUUAAAAUAAAAUGACAAGGGCAAAGCUGGGCCUGCUAAUUCCAGCAUUGCGAGGCAGGAGGAGCAGGAAUACAAAGCUGGUUUUGGUACAUAGUUUGAAGCUAGCCUCCAAGAGAUUCAGUUUCAAAUUAACAUAACAAGAGCCAAAAAUACAUUAAGAGAAAUUUCUUUUUUGAAAUUUUGUUUGUAAUGUAUGAAGUGCUGCUACCCAAAGUUACCACCAGCCAGUUAGUAAAAUGCUAUGGCAGCCUAUAUAUAACUACAAAGACAGAGGUAAAGUUGGCUCAUCCAUUACCAAGAGAAACUUAAAUUUUUAAAGAAGAACAGAACUAUCUUAAAUUUUGUGUAUAAAUGUAUAUAUAUUUAAAAGAAACACCAUAUUUUGAUUUUUUAAAUUAUAAACAUGUCUAUUCAAAUAGUUCAUGUUUCUCAAGGAUAGGAAAUCUAAGAUUACAGGGCCAUCAUCUGGUGAAGAUAUUCCAUCUUUAUCUUAACAUUGUUGAAAGACCAGCAAACACAUGUAAGACCAGGAGAAAUGGUAGACUACAAACUUCCUCUUUUGAGAACCAACCCACUCACUGGAUGCCUUUAAUCCAUUCCUGAAAGCAAAGACCGCACCACCUAGUCACCACCCAUUAGACACAAUCCUUCAAUGACUGCUACACUGGAGAUUGCUUUCAACACAAGAACUUUGGAGGACAUAUUCAAAUCCGUAAGAGAACUGUAAUUGUAAGAAAUAAGGCAGGUAAAAUGCAGGCAAGCAGUCUACCUUUCAGGAGAUCCCCCAUGCAUGGAAGCCAUGGGUAAUCUGAUUAUACAAGUUGAAAAAUGAUUUUCUGAAGCAAAAUUGUUUUUUUUCUAUUUCUCAUGGGGUCUGUCUUUUCCAGUUGAGAUUGUUCCUGUAAUGAUUAUGACCAGCAGAAUACAGUAAAAAUGAUACUUUUCUAUGUCUACAACUAGAUCUUAAAUAAUUACAAGCCCUACUUCUGGCCCCUUGGCCGGGGAGGCAAGGAUCCUCUCACCAUGCUGAAGAGUAUUCUGCUGACAUAUCAGACAGGUGAAGGAAGGGGCUCAAGCCAAGGCUAUCACUGAGUGCCACUGGAGAGCCUCAGAACAAUGGCACGAGGAACAGAAGUCAUGUAUGUGAGUCAGAUCAAGUGCCAGACCCAGCUUCUGAGAUACAAGUGCCCUAAGUUAUUACUCAUGACAACUAACAUGAUAUCGUGAACAGCAGCCUUGUAUUAAAUGGAAAGAACCUAGAAAGUAUUUUUUUUUCAAAAUGUUUUUGACAACUCAUACAUGUAUUCAAUGUAUGUUGAUGUAUACACUCUUCCUCAGACCAUCCAACACAUCCCCUUCUCACCUUCAAUUUUAUUAGUUAAUGCCUUAUAUAAUCACUUGGCCAACCAACUUGCCUAAAGAGAUGGAUCUCAGUAGUCUGUAAAUUUUUGUUGUUUUUCAAUGAGACUAUAGAACCUCUUAGAGGUAACAUCUUUUUAAGAACUUCUGAAUUUCUGAAGAUUAAGAAAUCUCACUAAAAUUAUUAAAUUAAUGUGUUAUCAAUAGCCUGGUAGAAUUUCUUCAAUUAAAAUUAAACUGCUUGUUCUUGAA